GAUGAACGCUGGCGGCGUGCCUAAUACAUGCAAGUCGAGCGAACAGAUGAGGAGCUUGCUCCUCUGACGUUAGCGGCGGACGGGUGAGUAACACGUGGGUAACCUACCUAUAAGACUGGGAUAACUCCGGGAAACCGGAGCUAAUACCGGAUAACAUUUAGAACCGCAUGGUUCUAUAGUGAAAGAUGGUUUUGCUAUCACUUAUAGAUGGAUCCGCGCCGUAUUAGCUAGUUGGUAAGGUAACGGCUUACCAAGGCAACGAUACGUAGCCGACCUGAGAGGGUGAUCGGCCACACUGGAACUGAGACACGGUCCAGACUCCUACGGGAGGCAGCAGUAGGGAAUCUUCCGCAAUGGGCGAAAGCCUGACGGAGCAACGCCGCGUGAGUGAUGAAGGUCUUCGGAUCGUAAAACUCUGUUAUUAGGGAAGAACAAAUGUGUAAGUAACUGUGCACGUCUUGACGGUACCUAAUCAGAAAGCCACGGCUAACUACGUG
rnacentral:rRNA from 1 species